UAGCAACGCGAAGAACCUUACCUGGUCUUGACAUCCCGGAGACCCUUAGGAAACUAGGGGGUGCUUCCAUCUGGAAGAAUCUGGAGACAGGUGCUGCAUGGCUGUCGUCAGCUCGUGUCGUGAGAUGUUGGGUUAAGUCCCGCAACGAGCGCAACCCUUGCCUUUAGUUGCCAGCAGUUCGGCUGGGCACUCUAAAGGGACUGCCGGUGUUAAACCGGAGGAAGGUGGGGAUGACGUCAAGUCCUCAUGGCCUUUAUGACCAGGGCUACACACGUACUACAAUGGCCGAUACAAAGGGCAGCGACACUGCGAGGUGAAGCCAAUCCCGUAAAAUCGGUCUCAGUCCGGAUUGGAGUCUGCAACUCGACUCCAUGAAGUUGGAAUCGCUAGUAAUCGUGGAUCAGCAUGCCACGGUGAAUACGUUCCCGGGCCUU
rnacentral:rRNA from 1 species